GGCGAGGUGCCGGAGUGGUUAACGGGGCGGUCUCGAAAACCGCUGAGCUUUGCUCACAUGGGUUCGAAUCCCAUCCUCGUCA
rnacentral:tRNA from 1 species